GAUGAACGCUGGCGGCGUGCCUAAUACAUGCAAGUCGAGCGAACAGACGAGGAGCUUGCUCCUCUGACGUUAGCGGCGGACGGGUGAGUAACACGUGGAUAACCUACCUAUAAGACUGGGAUAACUUCGGGAAACCGGAGCUAAUACCGGAUAAUAUAUUGAACCGCACGGUUCAAUAGUGAAAGACGGUUUUGCUGUCACUUAUAGAUGGAUCCGCGCCGCAUUAGCUAGUUGGUAAGGUAACGGCUUACCAAGGCAACGAUGCGUAGCCGACCUGAGGGGGUGAUCGGCCACACUGGAACUGAGACACGGUCCAGACUCCUACGGGAGGCAGCAGUAGGGAAUCUUCCGCAAUGGGCGAAAGCCUGACGGAGCAACGCCGCGUGAGUGAUGAAGGUCUUCGGAUCGUAAAACUCUGUUAUUAGGGAAGAACAAAUGUGUAAGUAACUAUGCACGUCUUGACGGUACCUAAUCAGAAAGCCACGGCUAACUACGUG
rnacentral:rRNA from 1 species